AAGUCGUAACAAGGUUUCCGUAGGUGAACCUGCGGAAGGAUCAUUAUCGAAUUUUGUGAGGGGUUGUAGCUGGCCCGGAAGGGCACGUGCACGCCCCGAUCAUCCUUCACACACCUGUGCACUUUUUGUAGGAUCGGUCACGGCGCGAGCCGGUGCCGUUUCUAUGUCUUUUACAAACGCUUCAGUCGAAGAAUGUCUUUUUGCUAUAAACGCAUCAAUACAACUUUCAGCAACGGAUCUCUUGGCUCUC
rnacentral:misc_RNA from 1 species